rnacentral:lncRNA from 1 species
CCGGCUGUAAACAAAUGACCGUUUUGCCCUUCAUAAGCUAAAGAGCGCAACCACGCGAUGUUUCCUGCAAAAAUCAACCAACUACAAGAACUUGUUAGUAAUUAGUUAAAUGCAAAAAUGCAACAGAACGCGAGAUGGUUCGACUAAUCUUAGGGCAAAAUUUGGGGUGUUACACACACCUUCCAAAAACACACACGAUCAUUCAAAUCAUUACUAGAAGGAUUGAAAUCUUUGUAAUUAGUCUGAGAUAGAUGUCUCACGGAUCGUGGAACAUUUGGCUUGACAUUUGUCCAUGAAUCUUGAACAAAUCAAACAAAAUCUUUACUUGAUAUAAAUCAUAAUUCCAUCUUCUCAGAUAAAGGAUUCAGAAUAAAUCUCUUAAUAAAACUGAACCAUACUUCAAAUCAUCUUUAAUAGAGAUUGGAAAUUUCCUCAUUAAGUGCAACUCUAAAUCUUGUAAGUAAAAACAAAUUCAAUAAGAUCUCUUCAAGGAAUAUAAAUCUUCAAUCAAUAUCUUUGCAUAUCAAUAUUUGAAUAAACUGAAUCUGAAACAAAACUUCCUUCAAAGCAUACUCAAAUAAAUCUUUUAUUCAAUGCAAAUCCAAUCAAAUCAAAUAUUCUUAUUUAUGCCAAAUCUAAAUCUUUUUAAUUAAACCAUAUCUAAUUAAAUCUUCUUCAGACUUAUGGAUUAAUAAAAAAAAUCCAAAUUGAUUUAGAUUAACAAACUUCUUUCAAAAGUAAUCAUUUGAUCGUACAAGAAUCAAUAUUGAAUCAUAUGAUGCAUUCUAUGCAGAACGCGCACCCAUGUGUCAUACAAUAUGUUCCAAACAUCUUGCUCAACAAGUUUCUUGAACUUGAACAAACUUUAACACUAAAUAAAACUAACCAACUCAUUGUAAUAACCUCUGGGAGAAAACAUAACACUCAAAUUUACUCACGAAACUUGACUUAUAGACUGAGACCAGAUGAUGCACACAUAUUGGAACAUCUUAUCCCAUAUGAUGCCUCUUCAUAAUUUACAUUUUGUGUUGUCCAUGUUGUUUUACCAAAUGCGGUCACUCAAAAGGAACAACAAAACUGAAAAUUGCAUAAGGAAUAACAUUCUCAAUAACAACAUUGAGCAACAAAAAUAACAACAUAAUAUUUUACCUAUAUCAACAAAAAAAUAACAACGCAACUAACAAAAAAAACACAACAAUACCAUAUAUAACUCAACAAAACAACAUAUAUAACUCAACAAAAAACAUAAACAUUAACAAAAAAACAUUAUACUUGUAUCAACAAAAACAACAACAUAACUCAACAAAAGUAACAACAUAACUAAUAAAAACCACAUCAAUAUCUGAAACCUUUUACUUGUCUUAACAAAAAUAACAUAUAUAACUCAACAAUAACAUCAAAAUUAACGAAAAUAUUAUACUUGUAUAAAAAAAAUAGCAUAGCUCAACAAAAACAACAACAUAUAUAAUUAAAUAAAAACAACUUAUACAACUCAACAAAAUCAACAUAUAUAACUCAACAAAAACACCAACAUUAACAAAUACAUCUUACUUGUAUCAACAAAAAUAACAACAUAACUAAAAAAAAACAUAACUAAUAAAACCACAACAAUAACAUAAAUCUUUUACUAUUAUCUCAACAAAAAUGUCAAGAUUAACAAAAAUCUUUUACUUGUAUCAACAAAAGUAACAACAUAACUCAACAAAAAAAAAACAUAACUCAACAAAAAAACAACAAUAAAACUGAAAAAACCACAACAAUAACAUAUAUAACUCAACAUAAACAACAUAUAUUACUCAACAAAAACAUCAACGUUAACAAAAACCUCUUACUUGUAUCAACAAGAACAACAACAUAACUAACAAUAACAUAAAAUUUUCAAUUAUCUCAACAAAAACAACAACAUAAAACCUUUAAUCUAAUCUUAAUAACAACAACAAUAAUUGUUAACCUACUUAUUAACUCAACAAAAUAAGAAAACAACUCCACAAAAAAAGCAUUCAAUAUAUAUGAUUUAAUGUCUCAGUAAAAAGAAAAACAAUAAAUCCUAAAAGACAAAUAGUUUUAACAACAAAAAAAAUUAAAGAAUGGUGGAAAAUGUUUCACGUACAUACCGGAAAUGUGAAGAGGAAGACAAAGAAAUGAGUUUCAUGUUUUUGUUUUGCAAAGAUUUGUGACACAUUUCCUUGAUCCAUACUAAUUGAAGAAGUUAUGUUUGAGUUUUGUAAAAAUAUGUUGAAGUUUUGUGAGAUUGAGAUAAGGUAGAGUUUCAUGUAUGAAGUGCAAAUUGUUCUGAAGUGAGUUAAGUUAGUUUAUAUAGGUAAAAUAUUUCAUCACAGUUGAUAAAGG